CGUGCAUAACACAUUCAAGUCGAACGGAGUUAUUCGAAUUAAUCCUUCGGGAAGCGUUUGGAUGGCUUAGUGGCGGACGGGUGAGUAACGCGUGAGCAACCUGCCCUUUUGUGGGGGAUAACGUCUGGAAACGGACGCUAAUACCGCAUAACUAGGUAGUACCCCAUGGUACAGCCUGCAAAGAUUUAUUGCAAAAGGAUGGGCUCGCGUCUGAUUAGCUAGUUGGUGGGGCAACGGCCUACCAAGGCGACGAUCAGUAGCCGGACUGAGAGGUUGAACGGCCACAUUGGAACUGAGAUACGGUCCAGACUCCUACGGGAGGCAGCAGUGGGGAAUAUUGGGCAAUGGGCGAAAGCCUGACCCAGCUACGCCGCGUGAGGGAAGAAGGUCUUCGGAUUGUAAACCUUAAACAACAGGGACGAAACAAAUGACGGUACCUGUUAGGAAGCCACGGCUAACUACGUGCCAGCAGCCGCGGUAACAC
rnacentral:rRNA from 1 species